GCCUGGAGUCCAAGUAGUGUGUGCUUGUAAUCUCAGCUGCUGGGGGUGCUGAGCCCGAUGGAUUGCUUGAGUACAGGAGUUCUGACCUGCAGGCCAUGAUGCUGAGUGGGCAUUCAAGCUAAGGGCAACAUCAGUCUGGUAACCCACAGGACACCAGGUUGGCUAAGGAAGGGUAAACUGACCCAAGUUGGAGAUGGAGUAGAUCAAAGCACCCAUGGCAGUCAGUAGCAGGAUCAUGCCUGUGAACAACCCUGCAGUGUAGCCUGGGCCACACAGAGACGUGAGCUCC
rnacentral:SRP_RNA from 1 species